AUUGAACGCUGGCGGCAUGCCUUACACAUGCAAGUCGAACGGCAGCACGGGGCAACCUGGUGGCGAGUGGCGAACGGGUGAGUAAUGCAUCGGAACGUACCUUUCAGUGGGGGAUAACGUAGCGAAAGUUACGCUAAUACCGCAUAUUCUGUGAGCAGGAAAGCAGGGGAUCGCAAGACCUUGCGCUGAUUGAGCGGCCGAUGUCAGAUUAGCUAGUUGGUGAGGUAAGGGUCACCCAGGCGACGAUCUGUAGCGGGUCUGAGAGGAUGAUCCGCCACACUGGAACUGAGACACGGUCCAGACUCCUACGGGAGGCAGCAGUGGGGAAUUUUGGACAAUGGGGGCAACCCUGAUCCAGCCAUGCCGCGUGAGUGAAGAAGGCCUUCGGGUUGUAAAGCUCUUUCGGCCGGGAAGAAAUCGCACGGGCUAAUACCCUGUGUGGAUGACGGUACCGGAAUAAGAAGCACCGGCUAACUACGUGCCAGCCGCCGCCGUAAAAC
rnacentral:rRNA from 1 species